CCUGGCUCAUGACGAACGCUGGCGGCGUGCCUAACACAUGCGAUUCUAGCGGAGAAUUUCAAUCAGUUUACUUAGAUAAAUUCUUAGUGGCGGACGGGUGAGUAACGCGUGGGUAACCUACCCAUAAAGCCGGGACAACCCUUGCAAACUAGGGCUACUACCGAAUAAUCUUAGAGCUUGGCAUCACGUUUAAAGGAGAGGUGGCCUCUGAAGAAUGCUACCGAUUAUGGAUGGACCCGCGUCUGAUUAGCUAGUUGGUGGGGUAAAGGCCUACCAAGGCGACGAUCAGUAGCCGGCCUGAGAGGGUGAACGGCCACACUGGGACUGAUACACGGCCCGGACUCCUACGGGAGGCAGCUCUGGAGAAUCUUCCGCAAUGGACGAAAGUCUGACGGAGCGACGCCGCGUGUAUGAUGAAGGUCUUCGGAUUGUAAAGUACUGUCUUUGGGGAAGAAUGACUGGCUUGAAAAUAUUGAGUCAACAUGACGGUACCCAAGGAGGAAGCCCCGGCUAACUACGUGCCAGCUCCCGCGGUAAUACGUAGGUGGCAAGCGUUGUCCGGAAUUAUUGGGCGUAAAGAGCGCGUAGGCGGAUUUUUAAGUCUGGUGUGAAAGAUCACGGCUCAGCCCUGAGAGUGCAUCCGACACUGGGCAUCUUGACGACAGGAGAGGAAAGUGGAAAUCCACGUGUAUCGGUGAAAUGCGUAGAUAUGUGGAGGAACAUCUCCGGCGAAGGCUGACGUUCUGGACUGUAACUGACGCUGAUGCGCGAAAGUGUGGAGAGCUGUACAGGAUUAUAUACGCUGGUUGUCCACGCUGUAAACGAUGAGUGUUCGGUGUAGAGGGUAUCGACUCCUUCUGUGCAGCAUUUAACAUAAUAAUUACUCUGCCUGGGGAGUACGGCCGCAUGGUUGAAAAUCAAAGGAAUUGACG
rnacentral:rRNA from 1 species